CCUACGGGUGGCAGCAGUGAGGAAUAUUGGUCAAUGGGCGCGAGCCUGAACCAGCCAAGUAGCGUGAAGGAUGACUGCCCUACGGGUUGUAAACUUCUUUUAUAAAGGAAUAAAGUGAGGCACGUGUGCCUUUUUGUAUGUACUUUAUGAAUAAGGAUCGGCUAACGCCGUGCCAGCAGCCGCGGUAAUACGGAGGAUCCGAGCGUUAGACGGAUUUAUUGGGGUUAAAGGGAGCGUAGAUGGGUUGUUAAGUCAGUUGUUAAAGUUUGCGGCUCAACCGUAAAAUUGCACUUGAUACUGGCAGUCUUGCGUCCUGUUGAUGUAGGCGUACUUCGUGGU
rnacentral:rRNA from 1 species